UGGGGCUGGUCAGGGCCAUGGGCUCAGGCAUCAAAUUCUCACCCGCUGGGUUCCCUGGGGCUGGUCAGGGCCAUGGGCACAGGCAUCAAAUUCUCACCCGCUGGGUUCCCUGGGGCUGGGUAAAGGCCUACAGGGCACAGAAGUCACUCUGUCACCCGUUAGGCUCUCCCCAACUGGGCUGCCUCUGCAGCCCCUCUGUUGCCUCCAGACAUUAUGGGGCACCCAGUGACUUCUGCCCUUCACACACUGGUGGGGUCUUAGUGCUGCAGGGAGCUUCAUUUUUAAGGUUGUAUGCUACUUGAGGAACUCAUGCUGGGUACAGCAAGCUGGGCAUGAAUUUGUGUACAUGCAGAAGCCCAUCUUUCCAUCAGAGACUCUGAGUGGGGGCAGCGGACAGCACAGGGAGGUGACAGGGCGACUCAGCUGAAGGGCGGGGCAGGGGAGUAGGAACUGAUGACGCUUUCAGUUGAAAAGUCAAGCCGAGGUUCCUGUGUUUUUAUUUUUUAUUUUGUCUCCAGGGUUAUUGCUGGGGCUCGGUGCCUGCACUAGGAAUCCACUGCUCCUGGAGGCUAUUUUUCCCUUAUGUUGCCCUUGUUGUUUAUCGUUGUCUUAUUAUUGUUGUUGUUGUUGGUUUCGUUGUUGCUGCAUAGUACAGAGAGAAAUCGAAAGAGGAGGGGAAGACAGGGGAGAGAAAGACACACCUGCAGGCCUGCUUCACUGCCUGUGAAGUGACCCCCCUGCAGGUGGGGAGUGGGGUUUCAAAUUGGGAUCCUUGUUCCUAUCCUUGCACUUUGCACAGCGUGUGCUUAACCUGUGAUACAGACCAACCCCAGGUUUCUGUUUGAUGGCUUAGCGGGUUUCUGUUAGUGCAGGUGGGCCCAGGGAUGGGGGUCUUCUGUUAGUGCAGAUGGGCCUGGGGCUAAGGAGGCUUCUGUUAGUGCAGAUGGGCCUGGAGCUAAGGGGGAAUCUGUUAGUGCAGGUGGGCCCAGGGAUAGGGGGCUUCUGUUAGUGCAGGUGAGCCCAGGGAUAGGGGGCUUCUGUUAGUGCAGGUGGGCCCAGGGAUAGGGGGCUUCUGUUAAUGCAGGUGGGCCCAGGGAUAGGGGGCUUCUGUUAGUGCAGGUGGACCCAGGGAUAGGGGGCUUCUGUUAGUGCAGGUGGGCCCAGGGAUAGGGGGCUUCUCUUAGUGCAGGUGGGCUCAGAGAUAGGGGGCUUCUGUUAGUGCAGGUGGGCCCAGGGAUAGGGGGCUUCUGUUAGUGCAGCUGGGCCUGGGGCUAAGGGGGCUUCUCUUAGUGCAGAUGGGCCUGGGGCUAAGGGGGCUUCUGUUAGUGCAGGUGGGCCCAGGGAUAGGGAACUUCUGUUAGUACUUGCCACGGGAGCUGGACGGACAGUCAGCCUUCUGUGUCUGUAUAAAUCACUGCCUAGGGGCCGGGUGGUGGCGCAGCUGGUUGAGCACAUGUAUUACAAUGCGCAAGGACCUGGGUUCAAGCCCCGGGCCCCCACCUGCAGGGGGAAAGCUUUAUGAGUGGUGAAGCAGGGCUGCAGGUG